rnacentral:lncRNA from 1 species
UCAAAGCCAGGAGGAAGGAGGAGUGUGAACUUUGCACCCAGUGACUCACUGCAUCCCCCUAGGGCAAGUGCUCUCACCCGUGCAGAAUCCUGCCCUCCUUGCCACUGACGGGACCAUCCGCACUGGGUCAGCCUAUGAGCAACACUGACCUGAUUCACCUGCACGCCUUCAUUCCCCCACCUUCAUCCUCCUCCUCGCAGAGGUGAUCAGAUGUUUGCAGGUGCCUGCCUGUGUUUACAAAAUCCAUCCCAGGAAACCACAUGACAUUUGGUCAUCUGCCAU